GUUAUGUGUUUGGCGACGAGGUUUGACAGGAAUGCAUUGGUGUUCUUUUCACCAAAAUGCGAACGCCAUGAAAAAAACGUUCAACAGUGGAAGUCAAUUGAUGUGGGGCGCUUUGGUGAAAAUAAUGCCAAAGCAUUCCUGUCAAGCUUCGUCACC
rnacentral:pre_miRNA from 1 species